AUUGAACGCUGGCGACAUGCCUUACACAUGCAAGUCGAACGGCAGCACGGGUGCUUGCACCUGGUGGCGAGUGGCGAACGGGUGAGUAAUACAUCGGAACAUGUCCUGUAGUGGGGGAUAGCCCGGCGAAAGCCGGAUUAAUACCGCAUACGAUAUACGGAUGAAAGCGGGGGACCUUCGGGCCUCGCGCUAUAGGGUUGGCCGAUGGCUGAUUAGCUAGUUGGUGGGGUAAAGGCCUACCAAGGCGACGAUCAGUAGCUGGUCUGAGAGGACGACCAGCCACACUGGGACUGAGACACGGCCCAGACUCCUACGGGAGGCAGCAGUGGGGAAUUUUGGACAAUGGGCGAAUGCCUGAUCCAGCAAUGCCGCGUGUGUGAAGAAGGCCUUCGGGUUGUAAAGCACUUUUGUCCGGAAAGAAAUCCUUGGCCCUAAUACGGUCGGGGGAUGACGGUACCGGAAGAAUAAGCACCGGCUAACUACGUG
rnacentral:rRNA from 1 species